GGCAGUGAAUAUCUGAACGCAGCCUAUGUGUGGGGCUGUGGGACACAGUGACAUAACCUUUAUUAAGUACGUGUGAUUUAUUUAAAGAUACAUAGCAUCUGAUUUACAAUGCGGCUUGGAUUAAUUCUAUUUCAUAUUGCUAAACCUAAAAUGCCAUAUAGAUAUAGAGGAAAGUAUCGUAUAGUUAAGAAACCAUCUCUGCACGAUUUAUAUAAGAUGAAGAUAGACUUUGAAAGAGAAGAACAAAACAUGUUGAUUUUGCGGCAUCCUUACCUUACAAUCGAGCAAUCCCAUGGUCAUGCAGGAACAAAAGAAAAAUCAACUAAGUUUUUCCAACAAAUUUUCGAAAGAAGAAGACAGGAAUACCAAAAGGAUAUCACUAUCACAGAACGUCUAUGCCAUUUGAGAGUCACAGAAGCAUGGGAUUAGAAGCUUCUCGUAGGAUCACGUGCAGACAUGUCCUUCACACGUUUAUUAGUAUCCAGAUCUUUACGUUUGGCUUUUACGUGUACAAGACCGGCUUCAUCUAUGCGAAUCUAUAAAAUACAGAGAAAUAGAUAAAUAAGCAGAAAUAUAAAACAGAAUUUUAAAAAAUUUAUAAACUAUUCAAAUACCUUGUAGCAUGGUAAAGAAUCCAAGCCUGGAUAAUCUUCAAUAUCUCCAGUUUUAAUAUUAAAGCAUGCCCCAUGCCAUGGACAUCUCACUCGUCCUUCUCCUAAUGCACCAGUAUGUAGCAGAGCUCCAUAAUGUGUACAUUUGUUACCAAUUGCAUGCAAUUCUCCUUUUUGUUUUAUUAACAAAAUUUUGCUUUCAUUAUCUCCAAGCGGUAGUAAUUUCAUUUCAUUUUCGUUGAUAUCUUCCUGGUUGCACACCACACCUUCGAUAUAGUCAUGCUGUUCUUGAGAACCUGAUAUGUGAGAAUAAGAUAAAUUAAUUUGUAGUUUACUUUACAUAUUUUAUCAGACCUUCAAAGCAAAACGGGUGACUCACAAGUGCAAUAAAAUGGUAAUAUAUUAUGUUUCUGUAUGAUAUUUCCUGUUAUAUUACGUUCAUUAUAAUUUCCUUUCUCUCUAAUUUUAUUUAAUAUAUUCAAACAUAUAUAUUCUAAUAAAAUAUUAAACUUUAUAAAAUUUCAUAAUCAUAAUCUAUCUGUAUAUAUGAAAUAUUAGUGAAAUGUAUCGAAUGUGAGAAUAUAAAAGUAAAUAUAAAAG